rnacentral:RNase_P_RNA from 1 species
AGAGUGGGUCGGACGGCCGCUUCGUACCUGAUAGGUGCGGGGAGGAAAGUCCGAGCAGGACAGGGCACGGUGAUGGCUAACAGCCACCGAGGGCAACCUCCGGGAUAGUGCCACAGAAAAUACACAGCCGAUGACCCGUACCUUUAUUAACUAAAGGCUACGAGUACAGGCAAUGGUGAAAUGGUGUGGUAAGAGCGCACCGCAUCGUCGGCAACGGCGACGGCACGGCAAACCCCACCGCCUGCAAGACCAAGUAUGCUGUUGCUCGGCCCGGGCAAUAACAGCGGGUAGGUCGCUUGCCGCACCUAUUUGGUGCGGCAGAGCCAACUGGUAACAGUUGGUCGAGAUAAAUGGCCGUCAUCCUGUAACAUUUUGCAGGAAACAGAACUCGGCUUACAGACCCACUCUCUUU